AGAUACCGGUGACGAUUCUUGUUUGACGAAGCGUGUAUGAAGCGAGAAUGUCCGAAGAGAUAAAAGACACCGGCUGUUAAAGAAAACGUGUCGCAGUUUAGUUCGUUUCGUCGACGGUCUGCUACGAGGAACGACAACUGUUCCGGUGUGAACCGUUUUCACUGUUGUAACGAUGCGGUUUCAUAUUCUUGUGGGGACCGUUGUGCAUUGGAUAGUACUUCUCGUUAGUCUUACGUCACCGUCAUCGACGGAGGGGGCUGGCGAUCCUGAAAGAAUGUCAAGCGAAAAGAUUCGGCGGAAGUUUCUGACGGAGUUAUCUUCACCCUCGAACAGCGUGGCGGGAGCAAUGGUUCACUCGAUUUUACACAGAAAUACGUCCAUGCGAUGUUUUCACACGCCUCAAUUUCAUUUUUGGUUUCAUACUAUUCAUACGUUCUCUUUUUAUCUGUAACUUCGAGUAAUUAUUUCGUGAGGAUUUAUUGAGUAAUAUUUAGCUAAACGUGACAUUGGUUCAUGAUAUUGAUAUAUCAUGAAUUUAUUUAAACGGUCCUCGGUAUAAACAAGUAUUCAAAAUGAACAACGUUAGUUAUAUAUGAUUUCAGUGAAAUAUUAAGGAAUAAACAAUCUACAAAGAAUUUGAUUUACUUCGAAAUACAAUAGAAACGUUGUACAAUUGAUUUGAGGUCUCAAAAUGAUACUUUAUUAUAUUGUUCGCACUUUAAGCAUAGAAAUAUUAAUAUUUGCAAUUUAUAUAAUUUAUAUAAUAAAUUGCAACAGAAAUAUAUCGUUUGGAUUUAACGACCUAUAUUCGAAAAUAUGCCAAGGUGGAACUUGCAUUCACAAGAGGGAAAUUAAAAUGUAUGACCGAAAUGUAACAGUUGAAAAAGCAGGAAGUCCAUAGUUAAAACUACUUUAACCUGGCUGCAUGAAUGACGUGUGCAUAAAAGUGACACAAUUGUGACUAUUUAACUAGUUUAAACUAACUGAAACAGGUUUUAUAACAAGGCCUUAACAAAUAGUUGUGUACGUUUAAAAACUUCGUAAAUAUAAAAUGAAUACGUGAAACAUUUAAUACGAACGCUUUAUUUCUCGAUAAACGAUUCUUUACACGUGCCAAGUUGACUAAGAGUUUACUGAAUCGAUUUCUGAAUAUCCAUGUUCAAGAUCAACAACGUCCAUAUUGUACUACAAAUUUUCAUCAAACAUUUUUGUGGAAAACCAUUGUAAACGCUUAGCUACGUGUCGUCUCACAACUUAAAGAAAAAAAAGGAAAUUAUCAUGAGUUGAAAUCUGUCUCGUCUACGUAGCAAGAUUGUAAAGUAGAGCACAUGCAGCAUAUGUUUUAAUAAAUCUCGCAGCAGCGUACGUGCGUAUACACUGCCCCAGUGUUCUCGCAGAACACAAUUUAACAAAAUGCCUCAAAUCACGAGGCGAUUGAUCGACAGGACAAUAUGUACGACGAUCGGUGAAAUAGCCCUCUAUCGUGCACAUAAAUGUUUACAUCAAAGAAGAUGAAAUGGGCUCUUGAUGUAUGAGACGCAUAAUGGGAAAUAUCAUCGGACAGUGUGCAACAUGGUAUUAUAUGCACUAAAGUUUCUACACAAACUCCAUAAUAAUCUGGCUGUGACGCAGGAAAGAAACGAUAGAUAACAUUUCAAAACUUUUUAAUUGACUGCCGAAGAAAUAAAUAUUUGAACGAUUAGAUAGUAGCAUCACGUAAUAAUGCAAGCGAGUGAUUCGUCCUCUGUUUAUUCAUAAUCCUUAUCAACCGACUGUAGUCCGAUGACAUUGAAACGUAAUAGUGUUCAAAAUUCAAACACCUGUUGAUCAAUAAAAAUUUCGAAUAAACGUAUAAUACGAGUGAAAUUGAAAACGGCGAUGGUUAUUGAAAGUUCUUAUAUUCUGUGCAAUGACUAGGUUGAUUUCAAAGUAGAACAGUGCUCAUGAAAACAAAGAAAAAAUAAAAAUUGUAGAUUUCACUUUUUAGCAAAAUGUAUGAGAUAUUUUGAGAAGCACUGGUUAAAAGAGAUUAUUCAGUGUAAUGGUUUCAUACCCUUGCAGUGGCUUCAACACCUUCCGCGACAUAAAGGGUUACACUACUGUCGUCAUAUUACUAUUUACACUCGACGCGGAAAAUAAAAAUGUAAUGCAAACGUGUAUCUUCAAAUUGGCAAAUUUUAAUAUGGUAUCAAAGAACAGAAUUUAGCAGAUAGUCCCACAAAGGUCAGACUAUUAUCAUUCGAAGCAUGUCAAGAUUAAACUCUGUCUAGAAACCAGAUACUCAUUUUUACACUUCUUUUUGCGAGUUUUCAAAUUCUCGUGUAAAUAUCACAAAAUUCCGUUCCAAAUUCUUAUUCUCGAAAUAUUAUAACGCCAAUUAACGUUCUUACAAAUUCACAUUAAUUUUCCGAGUAAUCAAGCGAUUUUGUCAACAACCGUACGUUUUGAUCGGCCACGCAAGGGUUGAAGAGAGACGGAAGCGGAACGCAAGCAACAAAAGGAGAAGCGUGCACAUAGCUCCACUGUCCCUCAUCCUAAACACUCUGUAACGUAUACGUGAAACAUAUUUGCAGUGCAAUUUAUUCGACACUCUGAAUAUAUUGUCGCGAGCUAAUUACUGAGACACGUGUGAAACGAGAACGCGAAUCUACGUGAGAAAAGAAUUCCAAAUACCUUCGAUACGUACACUACUCAUAGUGAAAUGAUCCCGAGUUGUCGUAACUGGAAUUGAAGGAAGAGGAUUGAGGGUCGGUGCACAGAUUUCCACCUUCUGCAGCACCUCGGGGUGCGAAUCACACGAAAUCACGUCGAUCGUUCGAUGUCUCUGACAGAUCCCUCGAUCACUGCACCACCAGCAUGGCGACGGACGAUCCCACGAUAGGGUAGAACGAGGAUCCAGUGCGAGCAGGUGCAGUGGUUGCAACUACGCUAACGUUUGUGCGUGCGGAGAGCGUCGCGGCGCAGCCCGCGAAGCGCCACCCCCGAGCCGCGCAAUCGGAUAGAGGCGAAUUGCGGAUCCAGGUCGAUCAAUAUGACGGGUCAGCAGUCGUUGCCUCGUGCUCGCGUUGCGGCAAGCACGCUGAAGUGUUGAGGAGAGGACACCACGACGGAACCGUGAACAGUUCGCCACGUUUGCGCCGUAGAAUCUCGCCUCGAGCAUCCCCUUUUUUCGAUGGAACGCACGUGCACUGUCCCACGUAGUUACAUUUCUUCUUUUCUUUUUAAUCGUUCAUUGUAACUUGUCGCCGGACUCAAUCGAACGUUCUGAAUUUAGAAAAGACCUGUAACCUUUAAUAACGUCUGUAACUAUUAACAGUAGUGAACUGAAGGUAUUUUUAUUAGAAGAAUUAGUGAACAUUUUUAUAGGGAACUGGAUUGAUGACAGUGAACACGGAUAUAAUGAUUUCUUUAAUUUAGCAUGUAACGUUGUUAAUGCGUUGAAUACUGUGUCAGCUGUUGGUGAUCGACGAUGUUUAAAUUAAAUGAAAAUACUGUAUUUAAAUAUUGUAUUCGUUAACGAAGGAAAUUGGAAGACUUCGAUCAGGUUGUUAUUAAUUUCAUUUGUAUCGUCACAAUUUAUUUCAUUUGACGACUGUUAAGAGUUAAUCUAUAUUCGACAAAAAUAUGCCGCAGCUUUAAAAGAUCAAAUUUCAUUACAACAUCAUUAAAAGAUCACCAUGGAGUGUAUAUAAGUAAUACAGCUGCAUCAUAUUGAAGAAAAGAAGUUUGCUGUACCAGAGGACUAGUGUUGCAAAUAUUUCCUGUACAUUAAUUCAGAGUUAAUUAAUCGAGUAGACUUUCUAGUGACCAAUUUCUAAAUUAUUAAAAUUAAUAGUAAACAAUUCCAAAAGUAAUGAGUCUGAAGAACAUUUAAAUUCCCCUGUAA